rnacentral:rRNA from 1 species
CCUACGGGAGGCUGCAGUGGGGAAUAUUGCACAAUGGGCGCAAGCCUGAUGCAGCCAUGCCGCGUGUGUGAAGAAGGCCUUCGGGUUGUAAAGCACUUUCAGCGGGGAGGAAGGCGGUGAGGUUAAUAACCUCAUCGAUUGACGUUACCCGCAGAAGAAGCACCGGCUAACUCCGUGCCAGCAGCCGCGGUAAUACGGAGGGUGCAAGCGUUAAUCGGAAUUACUGGGCGUAAAGCGCACGCAGGCGGUCUGUCAAGUCGGAUGUGAAAUCCCCGGGCUCAACCUGGGAACUGCAUUCGAACUGGCAGGCUAGAGUCUUGUAGAGGGGGGUAGAAUUCCAGGUGUAGCGGUGAAAUGCGUAGAGAUCUGGAGGAAUACCGGUGGCGAAGGCGGCCCCCUGGACAAAGACUGACGCUCAGGUGCGAAAGCGUGGGGAGCAAACAGGAUUAGAUACCCUAGUAGUC